GGAAGCCUCUCCCAAGAUUAGAUCUCCCAUAGACUUCGGUCUACUAAAGAGUCGUCAUAGACUAUGACGUUGAUAGGCAAGAUGUGUAAGCACUGUGAAGUGUUGAGCUAACUUGUACUAAUAACUCGUGAGGCUUGAUCAUGUAACCUUA
rnacentral:rRNA from 1 species